rnacentral:lncRNA from 1 species
GUCCGCCCGCCGGGAGCCGCGGGGCGCGCAGCCUUCCUGAUGUGUCACCAGCACGUGGAGCCAGGUCGGGCCGCGGCGAGCAAGCCGACCCCCCCAACUUUCGAGGGGUCUCGCCGCCCCGCUCCUCUCCCGGCUUCGUCGGGCUCGCUCUCCUAGCGGAGGGGGCGGCGGCGGCCCCCAGGUCCCGGGCAGGUCGAGCGAGGCCACGGCCCCCGGCCAGGAGUUCGAGGGGCUCCCGGAACGUCGGGGCGCGGGCCCCGGCUAGCGGCUAUGGCCCCCGUGCCCAGGCAGCGGUGCGGGCUCGGCCUUGCGGGAGGGUGCGGCCUGCUGCGAGAGGUCGGCCACGGCUCCUGCCCCGCGCCCCGCGCCCCUCGCCCGCCGAGCUGAGCGCAGGUAACCGAGGCAGAGCGGAGCUGGGCCUCGCAGGCGCGGCGUGGGAGCGUGGCGAAGUUUCUCGGCGCAUAACUCUUGCGCCCCACUCGGGAGUGGGGCUGCGGUGGGGAGGCUUUGGUCCCCGCACCUCCCCCUCCCCCAGCGCUGUCCCUCGGCCUGAGCCGAGGCGGCCCGGGGGUGGCGUGGAGGCCGCCGAGCGUCGUGUAACCCUUGGAGGGCUGGGUUUGGAGCCCGCGACCCGAGGUCGGGCGGGGCGGUGGACUUUCCCGGGGAACGCCGCCUGAGGGACACCCAGAGCUUCGGCGGAGCGGAGCGCGGUGCACAGAGCCGGCGACCGGACCCAGCCCCGGGAAGCCCGUCGGGGACGCACCCCGAACUCCGAGGAUGGGAGCUGAGGGCUGGGUCUUUGCGGGCGAGAUGAGGGUGUCGGAUCAACUGGCCUACAAAGUCCCAGUUCUCGGCCCCCGGGACCAGCGUCUUCUCCCCGGUCCUCGCCCCAGGCCGGCUUCCUCCCGGGCUGGCGUGCGCUCCGGCCAGGCUGCCUCUCAGGUCCACGCUGGAGAAGGAGUGGUGAGGUGCGCUCGCCCCGGCUGCGUGCGGUGAUUCGGGAAAUCCCCGCACUUCGCUGGAGAAAUAGCGACGCUCUCGGAAGUGUGAGUCGGUCACUGCUUGGGGUCCGUACCCUUUGGGCAGACGUGGACCGCGCCCCGGCGACCUGGGUUGAGUGGACAGACGGGACCCGGCUUACCCAUGGGCCAAGCCCUGCCACUUACCGAGGCCUGCCCUGCUGUGCUUUCCAGGGCGGCAACCUUGAGCUUGGGGGUGGGGAGAACGGGGCCUGACUUCUAGAAUUGCCCCUGGGGAGGUGGGAAGCGGAGGUUUGGCCCGGUGGCGCAGGAAGCCCCUGUUCCUCUCCCAAACACCAUUUCAUUAAAGAUGGAUCUUUGUGGAUGUGUUCCCAAUGGCCGGUCUUUUGUUCCCUGACCGAUGCAACAUAAUGUGGACCCACUCUAGUCCUCUUCAAGUUUUUUGCUGGAAUUCCUUAAACUCUCCUUUAAAGUCUCUUAUCUAUUCCUCUAGUGCGUUUGCUUCUACUCCCCGAAAACAAAAACCCACCAACCCCUGAAACCUCGGGUUUGCCUGGGGCUGUCCCCGCCUGUCAUCAGAGGUUUACAAACGCUUCAACUGC